AGCCCGCUGGGGUGCCGGACAGCCCUUGGACGAUCCGCGAUCGUCCAAGGGCUGUCCGGCCCAGCUCCGGGUCUC
rnacentral:tRNA from 1 species